rfam:Oryza sativa Japonica Group DNA, chromosome 2, cultivar: Nipponbare, complete sequence.
UCUGGUUUCCGUGCCCAAUAUUUAACCGUCCGUCUUAUUUGAAAAAAAUAUAAGAAAAAUUAAAAAGACAAGUCACACAUAAAAUAUUAAUCAUAUUUUAUCAUCUAACAACAAUGAAAAAUAUAAAUUAUAAAAAAAUUUCAUAUAACACAGAUAGUCAAAGUUGGACACGAAAACCCAUAGCCUGCUUUUUUU